GCAACUGAGGUGUCCCUCAAGGAGUUACAGCGCCUCCAGAUUUACCAUGUCUGUUGAUGAUGGUGUCAACUGCGUCCAGACAAAACUGAGCUAAGUAAAAAGGAAAAUCACUUGAUAUAUGAUAUCAUAAUAAAUAUAGAAGAGAACAUAAAUAUAAAUGGAGAAAAUUUACUAGGCACCAAACCAGUCAAAAGAGCAACUACAGUACUGCCAAUUUUGUUGGAUGAGGAUAAUUUUUCACAUAACUUCAGGAGCAGCUACAGUUACAAGAAGCAAAAACUUAUUUCAAGCCAUUUGUUCUGGAGAAGAGGAACUGUAAUUCAGGCAAUCUGGACAUUUUACCAGAAGGUCACUGUCCUGUUCUGUGAUUUAAGGCAAGUCUUUUAGGGUUUGAAACUUACCCUGUGCUGAGAGCAAUA